GCGGAAAAAAGGGGGAACGAGUGUACCGCGAUUGAAGCAAGCUACUCGCUAUCCAGCCAGCCACGGAGAUGAGUGGACGGCGGAGAAUCGCAUGUGAUGUGAUUUCUUUUUUCAGAUUUUUCGAAAUAUCUUAUGGCGAGACAUCCGUGAAUCUCUGUGGAUACCAAUUUAUUCUGCAUCUUUUGUUUGAAUAUAAUAUGCACGCGGUCUCCAUCAUGUCAUAUGUGGUGGUCGUUGCUUUUGCGGCCCGUCCCCGAUUUUCCGGGUUAUGGCAAAUAGGCCCCCGAAUAUGCACUUUGAUAUAAUUACUCACUGCAGAUUAUUGUGUGGUGGGCCUUUCUUUGGCCUACUAUUACUUUAAGCACCCUCGUCGGCAAAACUGAAUAUUCGCGCUACAGUGCUCGACAUUCUUAUGAUUUUUAUACCAAAUGGUUGACUCAUGGUACGGGCGUACUAUAAGCUAUGGAUUGAUGGCUGGAUAUGGUUCCUCAGGAUUCCUUGCCAAUAAAUAACGCCUAGAAUGCAAUGCGAAUUUCAACUUUUGGUCAGAUCUGGUCUACUUCCAUGUUAUAUUGGUUCAUUUGAUACAUUGGUAUCUCAACUUUUUAGGGGGGGGGGACCACGUCAUUGACCAUCCACUUUAUUCCAAGGCUGGCCCUGGCCUAGUACUAGUAGGAAUGGUUCGUCAUGUUUUAUCCUUUGUUACUACUAGUAUAAUUCAAGUAGCUGCACAUGCUUCAUUCAUUCAUUCAUUGCUUUGAUCCGUCCAUGGUGAUAUGUGUUGUUUUGGUCUUCUACUUAAUUUCAUCUUGUGCUAUCUCAGUACCACUGUACUGUAGCGUAAUUAAUUUUAAUGUCUUCUUGCCAUGUUUAAAGUUCUGGCUAUAGUUCAUGGGCAAAGGUACCUGUUGCUGGAGCCUUUCAGAGUUCAGACCAGUUAUCACUCUGCAUUUCAUUUAACUAUUUUGCAGAUCAUAAUAUUUGGAGAUAAGGUUAUUCUCGAGGAUCCUAUUGAAUUUUGGCCAAAAUGUGACUGCUUGAUUGCCUUCUGUUCGUCUGGGUUUCCCCUUCAGAAAGCUCAGGCUUAUGCAGCUUUACGAAAACCAUUUGUAGUGAAUGAACUCGAGCCACAAUACCUCCUUCAUGACCGUAGAAAAGUAUACGAGCAUCUUGAGAAGUAUGGAAUUCCUGUACCGAAUUAUGCUCUUGUCAAUAGAGAGUAUCCAUACCAAGAGCUAGACCACUUCAUUGAGCAAGAAGAUUUUGUGGAGAUCCAUGGAAAGCGCUUUCUUAAGCCCUUUGUGGAGAAACCUGCUAAUGGCGAUGACCAUAGAAUAAUGAUUUAUUAUCCUAAUUCUGCUGGUGGUGGAAUGAAAGAACUAUUCCGUAAGGUUGGUAACCGAUCUAGUGAAUUUCAUCCUGAUGUCAGGAGAGUUAGGCGUGAGGGAUCUUACAUUUAUGAGGAAUUCAUGCCUACCGGUGGGACAGAUGUGAAAGUUUACACAGUUGGCCCAGGAUAUGCGCAUGCCGAGGCACGCAAAUCACCAGUUGUUGAUGGUGUUGUUAUGAGGAAUCCUGACGGGAAAGAAGUACGUUAUCCUGUUCUUUUGACCCCUAUGGAGAAACAAAUGGCAAGAGAUGUCUGCAAUGCUUUUAGACAGAUGGUUUGUGGUUUUGAUCUCUUAAGGUGCGAUGGAAGAUCAUACGUUUGUGAUGUUAAUGGAUGGAGCUUUGUAAAAAACUCUUACAAGUAUUAUGACGAUGCUGCAUGCAUCAUGCGAAAAAUAUUUCUUGAUGCAAAAGCUCCUCAUCUUUCAUCAACCAUUCCUCCAACCCUUCCUUGGAAAUCUAAAGCACCAGAUCAGUCUACUGAAGGCCUUACACGACAGGGAAGUGGGAUCAUUGGUACAUUCGGUCAGUCAGAAGAACUACGCUGCGUCGUUGUUGUGAUACGCCAUGGUGAUCGGACACCAAAGCAGAAGGUGAAACUGAAAGUUACAGAGGAAAAGCUUCUGAAUUUGAUGUUGAAGUACAAUGGUGGAAAGCCAAGAGCUGAGACAAAACUGAAAAGUGCAGUACAGUUACAAGACUUGCUAGAUGCCACAAGACAACUUGUGCCACCAACUAGGUCAGGUCAGGAGAGUGAUAGUGAUGCUGAAGAUUUGGAGCAUAUUGAAAAGCUUCGUCAAGUCAAAGCAGUACUGGAGGAGGGUGGGCAUUUCUCGGGUAUUUAUCGGAAAGUGCAGCUAAAGCCACUUAAAUGGAUUAAAGUUCCAGAGCACAAUGGUGAAGGUGAAGAGGAUCGGCCAAUAGAAGCCCUGAUGAUUCUGAAAUAUGGUGGUGUACUCACUCAUGCUGGGAGAAAGCAGGCAGAAGAACUGGGAAGAUUUUUCAGAAACAACAUUUAUCCAGGGGAAGGAACAGGUCUGCUUCGCCUUCAUAGCACGUACAGACAUGAUUUGAAAAUAUACAGUUCAGAUGAAGGACGUGUUCAGAUGUCUGCUGCAGCAUUUGCGAAAGGUCUUCUUGACUUGGAAGGGCAACUAACUCCCAUACUGGUCUCUCUAGUAAGUAAAGAUUCGUCUAUGCUAGAUGGAUUGGAAGAUGCUAGCAUUGAGAUGGAUGAAGCUAAGGCUAGAUUGCAUGAAAUCAUCAUUUCAAAUGCCAAAGCAGAUAAUACCAAUGGAUCGGUGGAGUUUCCAUGGAUGGUUGAUGGUGCAGGAUUGCCUCCAAAUGCUUCUGAACUUCUUCCUAAGAUGGCCAAGUUGACGAAACAAGUUACUGCACAAGUCAAGCUGCGUGCUGAAGGCGAAGAGGAGAAGCUUGCGCUGACAAGCUCAUUUUCUAGAUACGACCAAGCAAAGGCUCUUGGGAAAACAACAAUUGAUGUUGCUCGUAUUGCUGCUGGCUUACCUUGUGGUAGUGAAAGCUUCCUCUUGAUGUUUGCUCGAUGGAAAAAACUUGAGAGAGAUUUAUAUAAUGAAAGAAAGGACCGAUUUGACAUUACACAGAUUCCAGAUGUCUAUGACUCGUGCAAAUAUGACCUCGUGCAUAAUGCUCAUCUCAAUCUUAAGGGUUUGGAAGAGCUUUACAAAGUUGCUCAACUUCUUGCUGAUGGUGUUAUUCCAAAUGAGUACGGGAUCAACCCAAAGCAAAAACUAAAAAUUGGAUCAAAGAUAGCACGCCGGUUAAUGGGAAAAGUUCUAAUUGAUUUACGGAACACUCGUGAAGAAGCUAUUUGUGUUGCUGACCCGAAGUUUACUGAAGAUGAAGCUUUAUUCCUACCAACAAAAGAAGUAGAGCACCAGCAAAAGAUUCAAGUAAGAAAUGAGGAUGGAAGAAGAUCUAGCACGACGAGUGAAAAGUCAAUGGACCAAGAAGAUGAAGAUGAUAGAGAAACUAAAUACCGCUUAGAUCCUAAGUAUGCAAAUGUGAAGACACCAGACCGACAUGUCCGCACAAGGCUUUAUUUCACAUCGGAGUCCCAUAUACACUCAUUGAUGAAUGUCCUUCGGUAUUGCAACUUGGAUGAGUCUCUACACGGAGAGGAUAGCCUUGUCUGCCAAAGUACUUUGGACCGACUACAUAGAACCAGGGAGCUUGAUUACAUGAGCAAUAUUGUGCUUAGAAUGUUCGAAAAUACAGAGGUUCCUUUAGAAGAUGAGAAAAGGUUCCGGAUCGAAAUGACAUUCAGUCGUGGCGCUGAUCUCAGCCCUCUCGAGGACAAAACCAGUGAAACAUCUCCAUUGCUCCAGGAGCACACCCUGCCGAUAAUGGGGCCCGAGAGGCUGCAGGAAGUUGGCUCUUGCCUGACACUGGACAAGUUUGAGAAGAUGGUGCGGCCAUUCGCCAUGCCCCCCGAGGACUUUCCCCCGGCUACUCCACAAGCCUUAGGAUACUUCUCCAAGGGCGCUGGGGUGCUUGAACGGCUGGCUAGUUUCUGGCCUUUUCACAAGGGCGCAGCUAACGGCAAAAUAACCGAAAAGGCUGCGAAUUGCCAGAAGUAAACUUCAUGUGAAUAUUCAUUCAUCUUUGUUAACAUUUGGUGGCAACACCAUUUUGCGCAAUUUUGGUAACUUGGGUUCGUCUUCCAGAAACUGAUGAAUCUCAUGUGUACUUUUGCCCGGCAUCUUUAUCUUGAGCAUGAUUGUAGGUAAAUCUUCAAAGAUAUCUGUCUGAUAGGUGAUGAUGAGGAACUUGCAUCUUGUUUUCUGCCAUCUUUCCAGGAUCAUGAAGUAAGAUUCCGG
rnacentral:rRNA from 1 species